GAACGGUCGGCAGGCGAUCCGCGUCGGUCGCGCGAGGUGGUAUGGUUCCCCAGAGGCCGGUUCUUGUGCUGCCUACCCCUUCAGGGGAAGCGGGCCACUUGAUGUAAGCCUCCAUCCGGCGCCCUCCAACGGGCGCAGGAGGACAACAGAGCACACCCCGCGUACCACCGAGCCUUCGUCGGUCGCGUGGCGCGCGGGGACGUGCGAUGCUCUCGGACCCAGCGGACGCCGUGGGCGAGGACUCACGUCCCAGUCCCGAUAGAAGCUUCGGUAUAAUGCAUGACGGCCGCUCCCGCCCCCCGACCGCCCU
rnacentral:misc_RNA from 1 species